rnacentral:lncRNA from 1 species
ACAGUUAAUGAACGGAUGUUGAUACAUUAUUAACUAGAGUUUGUACUUGAGUCAGAGGGCCUUGGUUUUUACCAUUUCCUCAUCCUGGAUUCCAUCCUUCGUCCUUUUGGCUGUGACAGUUUCUCAGACUCACCUUGCUUUUGAUGCCCGUGACAUUUUUGAGGAGUACCGAUAAGGUAUUUUAUACAAUGUCCCUCAUUUGGGAUUUGUCUGAUGUUUUCUCACAAUUAGACUCGGAUGAGGAGUUUUUGGCACUGAACACAGUCCACCCUUAAUUAGAAGGAGUUUUGCUUCGAGUCUUUGGAGCCCUGCAAAGUAGCACAGGUGAUCUGUCUACUCUCCUCCACUAAUUUAUUCCGUAACUUGUUUCCAUCAGCAGGGGCUUGUGGCUAUUCCACACUUGGAGUUAUAAUCCAGUAACACUUUGUUUUGUGGCUCAGGUUGUUUCCGUUUGGGCCAUCGGGAACUCUUUCAUUUGGCGCCUGUGUUCCUUUGACAUACCUACAACACUGUGAAUUUUUUUUUAAGCAUUAUCUUACUUCCUAGCUGCACAAGGGGCUCAGCCUCAUGUUUUUGCACAUUUCCUGCUGGAAUCCGAGAAGGAGCCCUUUCUCCAAGGGGCCCUGGUUCCUGUCACUGGAGAAUGGUCUCAGAAGCGGAGGUCCGGCUUGGAGGUGUCCACCGCGCCUGGAGAGGGCCCGAGGGCCGCAGGAGGCGUGAAACAGCAAGGGAGCCACCUGAGCCCUCGCUGUUGCCGGUGGUUUUGAUUUCCUUUGAUUUCCCGGCCUCAUCUCGCGGUCCUGGGCGGAAAGGCGACCCGCAGUUAAAAGGCGAGAGGCGCCGCAGCGCCCGCAGCAAGAGGAAGCGUCCGGGAACCUCUGCGGCAGCGCGUGAGUUGGGCAGCGCUCCUCGCCCGCUACCCUCCCAGCCGCUGGCGGGUCCCAGAGCUGAAAGAACACAUGGUGAUUAUACUCCGGGAGGCUGCAGCUGCAGACAUAUCUAA